rnacentral:rRNA from 1 species
CCUACGGGAGGCAGCAGUGGGGUAUAUUGCACAAUUGGGGAAACCCUGAUGCAGCGACGCCGCGUGAAGGAAGAAGUAUUUCGGUAUGUAAACUUCUAUCAGCAGGGAAGAAAAUGCCGGUACCUGACUAAGAAGCCCUGGCUAACUACGUACCAGCAGCCGCGGUAAUACGUAGGGGGCAGGCGUGAUCCGGAUUUACGGGGUGGAAAGGGAGAGUAGGCGGGUUAGUAAGUACGAAGUGAAAGCCCGGGGCUCACCCCCGGGACGGCUUUUGAAACUGUUGAACUGGAGUGCAGGAGAGGUAAGUGGAAUUCCUAGUGUAGCGGUGAAAUGCGUAGAUAUUAGGAGGAACACCAGUGGCGAAGGCGGCUUACUGGACUGUAAAUGACGCUGAGGCUCGAAAGCGUGGGGAGCAAACAGGAUUAGAUACCCCAGUAGUC